UACGGAGGGGGCUAGCGUUGUUCGGAAUUACUGGGCGUAAAGGGCUCGUAGGCGGCCAACUAAGUCGGAUGUGAAAUCCCCAAGCUUAACUUGGGAACUGCAUCCGAUACUGGAUGGCUUGAAUCCGGGAGAGGGAUGCAGAAUUCCAGGUGUAGCGGUGAAAUGCGUAGAUAUCUGGAGGAAUACCGGUGGCGAAGGCGGCAUCCUGGACCGGCAUUGACGCUGAGGAGCGAAAGCGUGGGGAGCGAACAGG
rnacentral:rRNA from 1 species